AGCUGCCUGGGAGGAGGGAGAGAGAGACUCCAUGAUUUGGAAGAGAAGCCACGUGCAAGAUAGGAAACCUGGAUGGCCCUAGAGGAUACUGCCCUAAGCCCAAGAACCCUCCAGCAUGAUUGCAUUGUGUCUCAGAGGCAGCACACCCGCCUGCAGUGCAGGUAGCUUACACAGUCCUGUGGAGCAAGAAAGCCCUUCCUGAUGCAAUAUACAUAAUAAAAAGGAUUGUUUUUAAUGGUGCACAGCCAGUGAACCCCACUGUUGAAAUAAGGGAAGAGGCUCAGCUGGUGUAGAUCAGCAUAGGUCGACUGAUGCCAGUGGAGCCAUGUGGAAAAAAAGAGCCAUC